GGAAGAGUGGCCGAGCGGUUUAAGGCACCGGUCUUGAAAACCGGCGAACGGGCAACCGUUCCGUGGGUUCGAAUCCCACCUCUUCCGCCA
rnacentral:tRNA from 4 species